rnacentral:pre_miRNA from 1 species
GAGAAAGGAAGUGAAUUGAGUUGAAUUGAAUUUUGAAGUGGAGUUGCUGAUGAUGAGAGCAUUAUUGGCAUGAGCUGCGACAACAUUUUUGCGCACCGUGUUGUUUUUCAGACAGACAUGGGUUGUUGUUGCUAUGAAGAAUGUGCCGAAAUGCUAAUCUGAAGCUUUCUGUCUUCACAUUAGAUUGUUGUUCUUUGUGUGAUAUUUGCUUACUU